rnacentral:ncRNA from 1 species
GAAACGGCGAAGAAAAGAAAAAGUAAUAAUUGAGACGCCAUACAGAAAGCUGCCGGUUGAUGAGAGGCGCAUGGAAAGUCGAUUAUGAAUACAUCUUGGAGCUUUGCACCGAACAGUGACAUAAUUCUAAGUAGGCUGCAACGGGAUGGCACACGUUAUCGUGCCUGAGUAUUGAUAGAUACUUGCAGAGGCGUUUGCUGUGAAGUGAAUGCGAAUGAAGGUGGUACCGCGGGAUUACACUCGCCCUUUAU